GAUGAACGCUAGCUACAGGCUUAACACAUGCAAGUCGAGGGGAAACGAUGAGAGAGCUUGCUCUCUUAGUCGUCGACCGGCGCACGGGUGAGUAACGCGUAUCCAACCUGCCUCUGACCAAGGGAUAACCCGUCGAAAGUCGGACUAAUACCUUAUGCAGUCGUCGGAAGUCAUCUGAUGACGACGAAAGAUUUCAUCGGUGAGAGAUGGGGAUGCGUCUGAUUAGCUUGUUGGCGGGGUAACGGCCCACCAAGGCGACGAUCAGUAGGGGUUAUGAGAGGAAGGUCCCCCACAUUGGAACUGGGACACGGUCCAAACUGCUACGGGAGGCAGCAGUGAGGAAUAUUGGGCAAUGGGCGUAAGCCUGAACCAGCCAAGUAGCGGGCAGGAUGACGGCCCUAUGGGUGGUAAACUGCUUUUAUGCGGGGAUAAAGUGAGGGACGUGUCCUUCAUUGAAGGUACCGAAUGAAUAAGGACCGGCUAAUUCCGUG
rnacentral:rRNA from 1 species